GGCGAGUGAGCGGCAGAGCUCAGAUUUGAAAUCGUGCUAAUUUUUUUGGCACGAGUUGUAGAGUGUAGGCGGGAGUCUUUGUGGAGCACGGUGUCCAAGUCCCUUGGAACAGGGCGCCUGAGAGGGUGAGAGCCCCGUGGGGUGCCGUGCGAAGCUUUGAGGCCCUGCUGACGAGUCGAGUUGUUUGGGAAUGCAGCUCCGAGUGGGUGGUAAAUUCCAUCUAAGGCUAAAUACUGGCGAGAGACCGAUAGCGAACAAGUACUGUGAAGGAAAGAUGAAAAGCACUUUGAAAAGAGAGUGAAACAGCACGUGAAAUUGUUGAAAGGGAAGGGUAUUGGGCCCGACAUGGGGAGUGCGCACCGCUGUCUCUUGUAGGCGGCGCUCUGGGCGCUCUCUGGGCCAGCAUCGGUUCUUGCUGCGGGAGAAUGGGUGCCGGAAAGUGGCUCUUCGGAGUGUUAUAGCCGGCGCCAGAUACCGCGUGCGGGGACCGAGGACUGCGGCUUCUGUCUCGGAUGCUGGCACAACGGCGCAAUACCGCCCUCUU
rnacentral:rRNA from 1 species